CGGAUCGAUGAUGACCAUUGUUACAGAUGAUUCGUGGAUCAUGACUACAGGUCUGGAAGUCUGAGGUCCGU
ensembl:snoRNA